rnacentral:rRNA from 1 species
UACGAAGGGGGCGAGCGUUGUUCGGAAUUACUGGGCGUAAAGGGCGCGCAGGCGGCCUUAGAAGUCAGAUGUGAAAGCCCCGGGCUCAACCUGGGAAUGGCAUUUGAUACUCUGAGGCUGGAGUACGGGAGAGGAGAGUGGAAUUCCCAGUGUAGAGGUGAAAUUCGUAGAUAUUGGGAAGAACACCUGUGGCGAAAGCGGCUCACUGGACCACAACUGACGCUGAGGCGCGAAAGCUAGGGGAGCAAACAGG